CAGCAGCCACGGGAAUACGUAGGGUGCGAGCGUUAGUCGGAAUUACUGGGCGUAAAGCGUGCGCAGGCGGUUAUAUAAGACAGAUGUGAAAUCCCCGGGCUCAACCUGGGACCUGCAUUUGUGACUGUAUAGCUAGAGUACGGUAGAGGGGGAUGGAAUUCCGCGUGUAGCAGUGAAAUGCGUAGAUAUGCGGAGGAACACCGAUGGCGAAGGCAAUCCCCUGGACCUGUACUGACGCUCAUGCACGAAAGCGUGGGGAGCAAACAGGAUUAGAUACCCGCGUAGUCCCUGUCUCUUAUAC
rnacentral:rRNA from 1 species